rnacentral:misc_RNA from 1 species
GGAGGUAUACAUUAUUAUCACAUUUUGCUUUCUUUUGUUGCAGGAUGUAGUGCUCUUUAUCACUGUGCUUAUGAGUAAUCUAGUUUGGGUUACUUUUAUGUGGUCAGUCUGGGUCAGAUCAGGAAGUUAUCUGUUAAUGAUGCUACUGUUUCAAACUUCUGAACUCUCUGCCCAUCAUGGGCCAUUCAAGUUGACAUGAUAAAGCUAUUACUAAUAUUUUUUUUUCCUGUCAUUUUGUUACGCUGCCUCUGUUAUUUUUCUCCUAAAGUUUCUUUUCUUUGGGUUGUGUAUAAGCAUAGAUGUAUGCAUGGAUGACCUGCUUUUUAAUUUUUUUCUUAGA